CGCGGGUUCGCCGGGCGGAUGGCGCUCGCGCUGCGGCUGCUCGCCGACCCGGCGUUCGACGCGCUGAUCCCCGGC
rnacentral:tRNA from 1 species